UGUUAGCAGAGGAAAUAAAAAAUAAAAACUUGCGACAAAAGAAAAAGCAUCUGCGGGAGCCGACCCGCCCCGCAGGAGGGGGAUGUCUGCCUGUCGUGGCUCGGCGGUACUCUCAGUUUGUUUUCUUAGUGGCUCUUUGAUGUCUUUUUCAGCGUGUCAGUUGUCGGGUGAACGCUGUGUUCCCACACACGUAAAGCCCACUGCACAUCCCAGCCAACAUCAACACCCCUUCCAAAGCAGAUUUGGCAUCAUCAGGAGUGCUGGAGUAAAUUUCUCGACUGUUUGAUAGGGUGCUGGCGUGCUCACAGACAGCUCAGCAAAACAAGACUCUGGGGACGUCCGUGAGUUCUCAUAAACACCGUGUCUGUGCAGCAAAACGUUGCUUUAUCAGACACAUAAAUUCCAAACGUGUGUGCCUCUAAGUCCUGAGCUUGGCAGUCUUCCUGAUGCAGACAAGAAAUGCUUUUUAAGUCAUCACAAGAGGCCUUCACAAGAAGAACAGUGAUGCUUAUGUUGGAGAAUUCUAAUUCCUCAGCUUUGGCACUCCUGCAGCUGUCUCUUCAGCAAUUCCUGUGUUGUCAUCUGAUUCUACACCUGCUCAAGGAACACUUACAAAGGGAGCUGAGUCAUCUUCUAAAUCUGGACCAUCAUCUUCUGAACACAAAACCUUCCUCUGCAGGACUUAAGGGCAAGUAUUAACUGUGUCAUUUUGCAUAGGAUGUUUUAGCUUCUCUUACUUUAAAUUACUUGUGUGUCUAACUGAAAAGCACAUAAUUUAGCUGUAUCCACCAAAAUUUUAUUUGUGUCAUUUGUGUUACAUAGUGCCAAAUACUUAUUUAUCUUCUUACUUCUGUGUCCUAUUUCCUUCUUUUUUUUAAUUAAUCGUCAUUUCAAAAUAGACUCACAUCUUCACUGGAUUGUUUUUGUACAUGCAUGUAAUUUCUGUGAACUGUGGCUACUUUGCUGUCAUUCAGGAACCUUUGAGUCUCAAGGAACAUAACCUCCUCUAUAAUCAAAUUGUUAUUCCAGUUAUUCAUAACAUUAAGAGACACUCACUGUGAAUAUCAGUCUGACUUAAGUCAUCUGAUAUACUUAGUAUUUAAAAGGGCUGAUGAAUGAGGACAUGUGUUAGACACUGUAAAAGUGAAGAAAAAGAAAGAUUAAUUGUCUAUGUCUUAUUAUUUUCGUAGCACUAUAAAAUAUCAUACACAUUCUUUGAAUUUUUAAAUGGAUGGACUUGUUUCCUGACUUGUCUCUGUGCUUGCCAAAAAUGUGUGCUCUUGUAGUUUGAAACCACUCUAGCACUACUACAAGUGAUUAAUACUAGGAUU